GGAAGAUAGGUGACAGAUGUUAGCUCAGGUGCCAAUCUUUAAAGAAAAGAAAAGGAUCACUCUGGUUGCUCUGGGGGUCAGAUUGUGGCAGAGCAAGACUAGAAGCAGGGAGACCAGUUAGGAGGCUACUGCAAGAAACUAGGAAAGAAGUCAUGAUUCUUCGGACCAAGGUAAAGACAGUGAAGACAGAAGAAGAUGGUUUUGGUAUUUGUUUUAGAGGCAGAAUGCUUGGAAUGGAGUAAAAGUGGGGAAUGAGAGAAAGAGAGCAAUGGGGUUACGAUAACAGCUAUUCUUUAUUGAAUACAUAUUACAUGACAGGCAGUGUUCUAAGUGCUUUGUAAAUAUUAAGCCAUUUAAUUAUCAUAAAAGUCCCAAAAGGUAGGUGCUAUUAUUAUCCCAUUAACAAAUUAGGAAAUGAGGCUGGAGGGGUUAAGUAAUUUGCUCCAAGUUACCUAGCUGAGAAGUGGCAGAGCUGGGAUUGGACCACACAGGCAGUCAGCUUCCAGAGUUCGUACUCUUCUCCCACCCCUAUCCCAGGCCCCUCUGUUGGUGUCACAGUCAAAGUGAAAAUUUCUUCAGCCACACUCAGCUACAGUACCACAAAUACCCUCUCCUUUGUCCCUUCCUCUCCUCCUUCUCCUCUUCUCUCUCUCAUACACAUAAGCAUCUAUUUUCUUUCUACAUGCUCUCUAGAAUGCCCCCUCCCCUCUCCUUCUCUGCCCAGCUUAAUUUAUUAACCUUCACUCGUCCUUACAGACUAAGUCAAAUCUUCUCUGGCUCCACAGCAACCUUGUGCUUACCUCUAUAAUUUUCUCUGUAAAGCAUUUCAUUAUUACUUAUAGGUCUUUCUCACUAAACUUUGAAGGCAGGUAGUUUAAUGCCCAACACAUAAGGGAGAAAGGAAGGAAGCAGGCACAGACACCCAGCCAUGCACACAUGGCAUGCUUUCCCUGGGUAUUGGGAGACACAAAUAUGGUAAAGCAUUAUCUCUGCCUUCAAGAAGCUGUAAAACUUGGCGGGCAAAUAGACACACAGAAAAUCACUUUACUACGAGGGCCAAAAGUGUGAUAGAAACCACGUUUUAUAGGAGCACUGGACAGGACACUGGAGGCAAGAAGCGUGGCCUUAGGUUGCUUCACUGGAAAAAAAAAUGCAACCAGGAAUGGGAGCUUGGGGCUUUAUUCUCCACCAUCAUUUAAUAUGGCUUGGGGAGGCAGUCUUGGGACCUCAUCCAGGAAAACUUGGGAGAUUUUCAGUUGCCACAAUUGAUUCACUGGAAUGUGCUACUUCCUGACUUCUCACUCUUACCUGUCCUUAUGUGAAUAAGUGUAUUGAUUCCCAAGUUAGUUCAAUUCCCUUCCUGGCAGGGUCAUAGAAAUUUCUUCUUCUACACUUCCUUCCUUUUUUUCAUCUGUGAGGUUUCAGAACGUAGGUUCUAGCUGUAGGACCUUGGGAAAGUUACCAAACUCCUAUGGCCCAGUGUGUAAGGCUGUGAAGGUUGUGCCCUGCAUUACCACAUGGGGUGCCACAGACUUAGACCACACUAUGCACAGUGCCCUGUGGGUGUGCUUCACAGAGGCCCUGCUCAACAUACCCAGCCAUAAAAUGGGGGUAAAAAUAGGACCUACUCCAUUUGGGUUGUUCUCAGGAAUAAAUGAGAAAAUGCAGAUACAGCGCUUAGGUUUGGCAUGUGGAAAAUUAUCAGUAAACACCAACUGCUAUUACUGGGUAAAGGGAAGCUUGCUGGAGUGGGAGUUUUUCCAGCUAGUAUUUUAAAAUGGGGUUACAUGGGUCCCUGCUUGGGUGGUUCUGUUAAUUGUUAGGACCAUAUAGGGAAUCUGGAGAGGAGAGGCCUUUUCUCUUCUAAAUUGGGAACCUAAGCCCCUCAAUGGAAAAAUCCUUCAGGUGGCUGAAGACUGAGCUGCUUUGAUCCACCUAUCUGCUCUGCUCCAUCUCUUAUCCCCCACCUUCCACGGGAGAACCAGCACUGUGUUGUCCCCAAAGCUGGCGCAAGGUACCCUUUUUUGUGGGAAAGUUAGACUCCCCCAAAGGCUAUCUCAAAGUGUAGGCUAGAACCGCCAUUACCGGAAUCACCUGGAGUGCUUGUUAAACUAGAUUGCUGGGUUUCAUCUCAGACUAACAAAAUCAUUGUCUGUGGGGUUGGGUCCUGGAAUCUAGUUUUAAUAAACUAUUCAGGUAAUUCAUAGUACAUGUUUGAGAACUACAGAUUAGGUGCUGCAACCAGUAUGAUAAUAUCCCAACUUCAAGUAGUUUUCUUCCACUAGAUCUCUCAUUAGGUCCUUUAGGAAGCAGGGUACCUCUUUCCUGUUCAUGGGACCCAUCCAGUCACGUACAACCUGAUUCAUUCUCCCUCCCACCCAUUAUCCAGCAGUGACAUCUCCUUUAACAUGUUCUUUUGGAGACUGGAUCCUCAGGUCACCAUUACCCGUUACUUAUUCCAGUCUUUUUGAUUACCUUCCCUCUUUGGCUGACUCAUGGACAAGCCUACCCCAUGCUGGUGACCUGGGCCAGAAACUCCAAGAGUCCCCUAUGACUAGAACCAGUUAGACUCACUCCAUGUUGGACAGGAUGAGUUUGGCUGACUUGGUCCACAGUGGUGGGCUGCAUUGGGAGCAGGAUGUAAGUGGGUGAUGAGCAAGGACUUAGAAUAACCAUAUGGCCCAGUUUGCUGAGGGCAGUCCUGGCUUAUACAUGUUGUUGGUGCUUAAUUAUUAAUAGUAUCCCCUUUUACUCUCAAAGGGCCCUGGCUUAGACAAUAAACUAUAUGGUCAUCCUGGUAAUGAGCCUCAUGUCAAGACCAACAGUUGCAAUGCUUUACCCCUGGAUUGUGCCUAGAUCACCCACUUCCUAAUCUCCCAGCCUCAAAUCCCAUGCCGUGGCUCCUUCUUCCUCUCAGAUUUCCUUAGUGAAUUCACUUUGGUAUAAUACUUUGGGCCCACAUUAAGGGAUUUAUAAGAAAGCAUCGUGAAAUUUGUUGCUAUAUUUACUCUUUCUGACAAUAACUGGAAAAUAUAUUUUUUUGGUUUUAGCACCUGGUAUAAUUGUGUUUCCCUUGUUUGUUAUCCCCAUUUGUUUUUGUCUUCUGGAUACCUAAUUGUGGAACUGACAGUAUUUCCCUUGGCUAUGAGAAAGCUUAGAGCCAUAUAUGUGGCUUUCUUCCGGCCUGUGUGUAAGAUUGAACAGGAUGUACUUUAUAUACUUAACUCACUUCCAACUUUAAUCCUCUGUUUCGAUUUCUUCACUAACUUUAGACUGAAUUUUUCUGGUGCUAUCUUAUGUAUAUCUGUAAACCAUCUUUUAUCCUUUUUGAAACAAGGCAGGUAUAAAAAAAUGUGUAUGAACACAUGCCCACAAACAAACUGGUACUGCUUCUAGUUAUGUAACUGAAAGGGAUUAUUUUUAAAAGUACACGAAUACUUUCCUCACUUACAGAAGAUAAUAUUAACAAAUGAAUAGCACUUUAAGUAAUGCUGGAUUUAGCAUUCUUCAACUACAUUAUUAUCUAGAAAGUGAAAAGAUUCCAAACAAAAGAAAACAAAAGAUUAGAUUAAUUUGCAAGCUGAAAUAUUUUUAGCUAUGACCCAGAACCUUAUACCAAAUAAUGCAAUGAAAAAUGCUCACUACCGAAACUGCAUAGCCUAAUUAGAUAGCAUUCAGGGGUGUUUACCUUCACAACAAAAUUUCGUGCUGUUGGAGAUGAAAAAAGGAGAGGAAGGGGGAUGGUCAGGGAAUCAGAUUUGGGAAUGUACAGUCCAGAUUAUAAUGAUGACCUAUGAGGAGGAGGGUUUGGCCAGAAGCUUGUGGCUUAUACCAGUCUCCAGACAACUGUUCUUCCUGCUGGCCUUGAUAAUAUUGCAGGAGUCUGGGUAGCUGGCACCCUGCAGUUUGCAGCUAACAUAAAACCGCAGAAUGAAAUUCAUCUUAAUGAAAUUACUGAGGAAUACAUUUUACAACUAAUUUAUUUUGGAGUUUGCACCGAAUUUACAAGACUCAAAGCUAGAUAUUCUAUGUGUACUGAGUUAUUUUAUGGAUAACUUGGGCAUCUAGUUAAAUCUGCUUUAAAAAAAUUUUACCCUAAAAUCAUGGAGAUCAUGCUCUAUAUAGUGAUUUCUGCCCUUUUCCAGCAUGAAUAUACCUAUUUAUCUUCCUUAAGAUGGAAGCAUUGUAAAAAAUACAAAAAGUUUCAGAGAAUAAGGUAAGAAACCCAUGUAGCUCCUAAAAGAACACAUGUUAACAUUUUCUCACAUUUGUAUUAUUUUUCAAAGCAAAAUAAAUGAGACAUUAGACAGUAGAAGCCUACUUUGUACCUUUCCCCAGUCCCAUUCCUUUCCUCCCAAGGCACCUAUUAUCCUGAAAGUUUACCAUUCUGGUUCACACUUUUAUCCUUUUACUACAGAAGUGCAUAUUCACAAAUAACAUAUUCUAUUUUAUGUUCUAAACAUAGUUUUUACUAAACAAAAUUUUUACAUAAAUGAUAUUGUACUGAAUGGUAUCAUUCCACAACUUUUUUUUUCUUCUCAACAUUGUUUUCAAGAUCUACCCAUGUUAAUACAUGGAAAUCUACUUCAUUCAUUUUAACUGCUAUGUAAAUGAGCAUUCUUAUACAUGUCUCUUUUUGCACAUUGGGGAUAGUUUCUCUAGGGUAUAUACCUAGCAACAGAAUUACUGAAGACACUCUUUACAGGUUGAAAAACAUUAUAACCCCUUUUGUGGCCCCCCUCUGCUCUGAUUAUACUUGUAGGUGUUAGUGUUCAAUGGGUGAGAAAACACAUGUGUGCAUUUGGAUUCUCAGAGCCCUUCCGGUAAAAGGUCUAAUAUUAUUAAUAGAGGGAGAUGAAGGCUCGUAGAUCAAGGUCCCGUUACACUUGUUUCUUCAUCUUUAUGAUGAGGAUAAUAAAAAUAACUCCUUAGAGUUUCUGUGAGAAUUAGAUGAAAUAAUAAGUGUAAAGCAUUUAGCAUUGUGCCUGGCACUUAGUAAUAGCUCAGUAAAUAUUAGCUAUUAUCAAUAAUGGUAUUUUAAGAUGAGUGGAUAUUGGAUUCAGUGGCUUUUAUUUGAAGACAGUGUACCAUAGAAAGAUACAAUUUUAAGGAAGGAAGAAAAUUUUAUUCCUCCCUGUAAUAUCAUUUUUGGAAGUUUUAUCUUUAUGUUUUUCUUUUCCUUUCAAAUUGUGUUUAAUAUUUUUGGCAGAAUCUCAGCACUGAAACAGUAAGAUAGAAAACAUUUAAGCAGGGAGAAAACAGCAGGGAGAGGCAACUAAGUAGAAACUAACCCGUGCUGGAAGUGGACAGCCUGUUUUUGCAGGUGCCAUCUUUCACCUUUCUUUUCCGCCAUCCAUUCUGUUCAAUGGAGUUGUCACUUUAGCUCCAUGUAUGCUAGCCAGGAAACUCAUCAGCAAUUACCAAAACCAAUUCUGUUUAUAGUAUGGUUCGAAUCUUAAAAAUCCCAUCUACCUUUGCCAGGGGAAUCCCAUUAGAAAUGUGUUAGGAGAAGACAUAUUUAAAUAGUUAUUUCCUAGCAAAUGUGGUCAGAAUCCCAAAUGGCUAAUUGGAAGUCUGUGUGAUAUGAAAAGAUGGACAAGAGAUGACAUGUAAUACUUGAAUGCAUCAACUGAUAUUUACAGCUAGCAGGGAGAAUUUAGGACCCUUUGUUAACUUGUUGAAAUUCAUACUUAGGAGUUUUCAAAAGAAAAAUCACAAGUUUGGAGAUAAAAUGACUGUGCCAAGCCAACAUUCCUAUCAAAGAUCAAAGAGAAUAAGAUUUUAAAAUAGCUGGAUAACUAAGCAAAGGAGAAAAAUAUCUGAAGUCUCAGGGCCAGAGAUUUGAAUUCAAUUUCAAAUUGUUUCUAGGGGUUUUAUAUCCUGUGAUAAAAGCAAGCUUUUAAACAGUAAAUUUCAAGGACAGGAGGGGAAAACUUAAUAAUUACCAUAAUGCUUUGAUUCUGAGAUGGCUUUGUUCAAAGAUAAAUUCCCAUAAACUAAUGUUGUGUUAUAAUUUAUUUUUUACCAAUAAAAGGUAGGUGUCCAAUCCAGAUUUUGUACAUUGUUGGUUCCAUACAUCACAUGAGCUCUCUUAAAUUAUCUUUUCUGUGUUUCAGUGUUGAAUAGAAGAGGAAUAAUGUAGUAGCAAGCAUUUUGGAAUUUAGAAACAAUACUUGAGACGUUCUAUUUUCAGAAGUACAUGUAUUUUCAGAAGUACAAAUCCACAACCCAAUCAAAUUCAAGGACUUGGAUGAGUAAAGUAGAUGAUCAGUCACAAAGAGUGCACAUCUGGGAACUCUUGGAAGAGUUGGGAAUGAUCCCUGAAGAAUGAUGCUUGGGCAACUGAGCAAAAGAAAGCUGAGAGCAUCAGAAUGAGUGGCAGGUUCUGGAAGUGGAAAAGAAAAAAACAACGUUUGGGAAAAGAAAAUGUGGAAAAUGUCAAGGAAGAGGCUUGAUGCAGAGCAGCAGGGCAAUCUUGGAAGCUUCAUGUUGAAGAUGGUGGAGCCACAAGUUAGAAGGAGUCUGGGUUGGAGGAGAGCUAUAUGCUGAUCAGGAACAUCCAUUUUAGACUUGAUCUGAGUGAAAAAUAAACAUGUAUUGUGAUGUUAAAGCAA